UACGGAGGGGGCGAGCGUUGUUCGGAGUUACUGGGCGUAAAGCGCACGUAGGCGGUGCGGUAAGUCAGGGGUUAAAGGCUGCAGCUCAACUGCAGUAAGGCCUUUGAUACUAUCGUGCUAGAGUGCCAGAGAGGAUGGCGGAACUCCCGGUGUAGCGGUGAAAUGCGUAGAUAUCGGGAGGAACACCAUUGGCGAAGGCGGCUAUCUGGCUGGUAACUGACGCUGAGGUGCGAGAGCGUAGGGAGCAAACAGG
rnacentral:rRNA from 1 species